rnacentral:rRNA from 1 species
AUACGGAGGAUCCGAGCGUUAUCCGGAUUUAUUGGGUUUAAAGGGAGCGUAGGUGGAUUGUUAAGUCAGUUGUGAAAGUUUGCGGCUCAACCGUAAAAUUGCAGUUGAAACUGGCAGUCUUGAGUACAGUAGAGGUGGGCGGAAUUCGUGGGGUAGAGGUGAAAUGCUUAGAUAUCUCGAAGAACUCCGAUUGCGAAGGCAGCUCACUAGACUGUUACUGACACUGAUGCUCGAAAGUGUGGGUAUCAAACAGGAUUAGAUACCCUGGUAGUCCACACAGUAAACGAUGAAUACUCGCUGUUUGCGAUAUACAGUAAGCGGCCAAGCGAAAGCAUUAAGUAUUCCACCUGGGGAGUACGCCGGCAACGGUGAAACUUAAAGGAAUUGACGGGG